UGUGAGGGCGAUCUGGUUGCGACAUCUGUCACCCCAUUGAUCGCCAGGGUUGAUUCGGCUGAUCUGGCUGGCUAGGCGGGUGUCCCCUUCCUCUCUCACCGCUCCAUGUGCGUCCCUCCCGAAGCUGCGCGCUCGGUUGAAGAGGACGACCAUCCCCGAUAGAGGAGGACCGUCGUGAAGGGAAAGAGGGGAGGGG